rnacentral:rRNA from 1 species
AACGUAGGUAACCUGCCCAUGUGCCCGGGAUAACUUCUGGAAACGGAUGCUAAAACCGGAUAGGUAGCAGACAAGCAUUUGACUGCUAUUAAAGUGGCUAAGGCCAUGAACAUGGAUGGACCUGCGGUGCAUUAGCUAGUUGGUGAGGUAACGGCCCACCAAGGCGACGAUGCAUAGCCGGCCUGAGAGGUUGAACGGCCACAUUGGGACUGAGACACGGCCCAGACUCCUACGGGAGGCAGCAUG